GCCCUUUUCCGGUUGAUCCUGCCGGAGGCCAUUGCUAUUGGGAUCCGAUUUAGCCAUGCUAGUUGUACGAGUUCAGACUCGUAGCGAAUAGCUCAGUAACACGUGGCCAAACUACCCUUCGGAGCACGAUACCCUCGGGAAACUGAGGCUAAUAGUGCAUACCACACUCACUCUGGAAUGACGAGUGUGUCAAACGCUCCGGCGCCGAAGGACGUGGCUGCGGCCGAUUAGGUAGACGGUGGGGUAACGGCCCACCGUGCCGAUAAUCGGUACGGGUGGUGAGAGCCAGAACCCGGAGACGGAAUCUGAGACAAGAUUCCGGGCCCUACGGGGCGCAGCAGGCGCGAAACCUUUACACUGCACGAUAGUGCGAUAAGGGGAUCCCAAGUGCGUAGGCAUAGAGCCUACGCUUUUGUACACCGUAGGGAGGUGUACGAAUAAGGGCUGGGCAAGACCGGUGCCAGCCGCCGCGGUAAUACCGGCAGCCCGAGUGAUGGCCGAUUUUAUUGGGCCUAAAGCGUCCGUAGCUGGCCGCACAAGUCCAUCGGGAAAUCCACCCGCUCAACGGGUGGACGUCCGGUGGAAACUGUGUGGCUUGGGACCGGAAGGCGCGACGGGUACGUCCGGGGUAGGAGUGAAAUCCCGUAAUCCUGGACGGACCGCCGAUGGCGAAAGCACGUCGCGAGAACGGAUCCGACAGUGAGGGACGAAAGCUAGGGUCUCGAACCGGAUUAGAUACCCGGGUAGUCCUAGCCGUAAACGAUGCCUGUUAGGUGUGGCUCCCACUACGAGUGGGUGCUGUGCCGUAGGAAGCCGCUAAACAGGCCGCCUGGGAAGUACGUCCGCAAGGAUGAAACUUAAAGGAAUUGGCGGGGGAGCACUACAACCGGAGGAGCCUGCGGUUUA
rnacentral:rRNA from 1 species